rnacentral:tRNA from 1 species
GGAAGGCUAGGCUAAUUGGUAAGCCAGCAGACUUGAAAUCUGCCGCCUUGAAAAAGGCUUGGGGGUUCGAGUCCCUCGCCUUCCG